rnacentral:rRNA from 1 species
GACAGAGGGUGCAAACGUUGUUCGGAAUCACUGGGCGUAAAGCGCACGUAGGCGGAUUGCUACGUCAGGGGUGAAAUCCUGGAGCUCAACUCCAGAACUGCCUUUGAUACUGGCGAUCUUGAGUCCGGGAGAGGUGAGUGGAACUGCGAGUGUAGAGGUGAAAUUCGUAGAUAUUCGCAAGAACACCAGUGGCGAAGGCGGCUCACUGGCCCGGUACUGACGCUGAGGUGCGAAAGCGUGGGGAGCAAACAGG